rnacentral:rRNA from 1 species
UUGCUGACGAGUGGCGCACGGGUGAGUAAUAUAUAGGUAACGUGCCUCUUAGUCUGGGAUAGCCAUUGGAAACGAUGAUUAAUACUAGAUACUCCUUCUCAUUAUAAUUUGAGUCGGGAAAGUUUUUCGCUAAGAGAUCGGCCUAUAUCCCAUCAGUUAGUUGGUAAGGUAACGGCUUACCAAGGCAAUGACGGGUAGCGGGUUUGAGAGGAUGAUCCGCCACACUGGUACUGAGACACGGACCAGACUCCUACGGGAGGCAGCAGUGAGGAAUAUUGCACAAUGGAGGAAACUCUGAUGCAGCAACGCCCCGCGGAGGAUGACGCAUUUCGGUGUGUAAACUCCUUUUAUAAGGGAAGAAAAUGACGGUACCUUAUGAAUAACCACCGGCUAACUCCGUGCCAGCAGCCGCGGUAAUACGGAGGGUGCAAGCGUUACUCGUAAUCACUGGGCGUAAAGGACACGUAGGCGGGUUGUCUAGUCAGGUGUGAAAUCCUACAGCUUAACUGUAGAACUGCACUUGAAACUGGCAACCUAGAGUAUGGGAGGGGGAGAUGGAAUUAGUGGUGUAGGGGCAAAAUCCGUAGAUAUCACUAGGAAUACCGAAAGCGAAGGCGAUCUCCUGGAACAUUACUGACGCUAAGGUGUGAAAAGCGUGGGGAGCAAACGGGAUUUAGAUUACCCCCGGUAGUCCAAC